rnacentral:rRNA from 1 species
AGUGAACGCUGGCGGUAGGCCUAACACAUGCAAGUCGAACGGCAGCACAGUAAGAGCUUGCUCUUACGGGUGGCGAGUGGCGGACGGGUGAGGAAUACAUCGGAAUCUACUUUUUCGUGGGGAUAACGUAGGGAAACUUACGCUAAUACCGCAUACGACCUACGGGUGAAAGCAGGGGAUCUUCGGACCUUGCGCGAUUGAAUGAGCCGAUGUCGGAUUAGCUAGUUGGCGGGGUAAAGGCCCACCAAGGCGACGAUCCGUAGCUGGUCUGAGAGGAUGAUCAGCCACACUGGAACUGAGACACGGUCCAGACUCCUACGGGAGGCAGCAGUGGGGAAUAUUGGACAAUGGGCGCAAGCCUGAUCCAGCCAUACCGCGUGGGUGAAGAAGGCCUUCGGGUUGUAAAGCCCUUUUGUUGGGAAAGAAAAGCAACAGGUUAAUACCCCGCUGUUCUGACGGUACCCAAAGAAUAAGCACCGGCUAACUUCGUG